rnacentral:rRNA from 1 species
ACAGCAGCAGCCACGGUAAUACGGAGGGAGCUAGCGUUGUUCGGAAUUACUGGGCGUAAAGCGCACGUAGGCGGCGUUGUAAGUUAGAGGUGAAAGCCUGGAGCUCAACUCCAGAAUUGCCUUUAAGACUGCAUCGCUUGAAUCCGGGAGAGGUGAGUGGAAUUCCGAGUGUAGAGGUGAAAUUCGUAGAUAUUCGGAAGAACACCAGUGGCGAAGGCGGCUUACUGGCUCAUACUGGACGCUGAGGUGCGAAAGCGUGGGGAGCAAACAGGAUUAGAUACCCCAGUAGUCCCUGUCUCUUAUAC